rnacentral:rRNA from 1 species
GACGAACGCUGGCGGCGUGCCUAAUACAUGCAAGUCGAGCGGACUUUCAAGAAGCUUGCUUUUUGAAAGUUAGCGGCGGACGGGUGAGCAACACGUGGGCAACCUGCCUGCAAGACGGGGAUAACUCCGGGAAACCGGGGCUAAUACCGGAUAAUAUCUUCCUUCGCAUGAAGGAAGGUUGAAAGGCGGCGCAAGCUGCCGCUUGCAGAUGGGCCCGCGGCGCAUUAGCUAGUUGGUGAGGUAACGGCUCACCAAGGCGACGAUGCGUAGCCGACCUGAGAGGGUGAUCGGCCACACUGGGACUGAGACACGGCCCAGACUCCUACGGGAGGCAGCAGUAGGGAAUCUUCCGCAAUGGACGAAAGUCUGACGGAGCAACGCCGCGUGAGCGAAGAAGGUCUUCGGAUCGUAAAGCUCGGUUGUCAGGGAAGAACAAGUACCGUUCGAACAGGGCGGUACCUUGACGGUACCUGACCAGAAAGCCACGGCUAACUACGUG